rnacentral:rRNA from 1 species
UACGUAGGGUGCGAGCGUUAAUCGGAAUUACUGGGCGUAAAGCGUGCGCAGGCGGUUUUGUAAGCCAGAUGUGAAAGCCCCGGGCUUAACCUGGGAAUGGCAUUUGGGACUGCAAGGCUUGAGUGCGGCAGAGGAGACUGGAAUUCCUGGUGUAGCAGUGAAAUGCGUAGAGAUGUGGAGGAACACCGAUGGCGAAGGCAGCCCCCUGGGUCAAGAUUGACGCUCGAUGCACGAAAGCGUAGGG